rnacentral:rRNA from 1 species
UACGUAUGGUGCAAGCGUUAUCCGGAUUUACUGGGCGUAAAGGGAGCGCAGGCGGCGCGCCAAGUCUGAUGUGAAACCCCGGGGCUCAACCCCGGGCAUGCACUGGAAACUGGCGGGCUGGAGUGCCGGAGAGGUAAGCGGAAUUCCUAGUGUAGCGGUGAAAUGCGUAGAUAUUAGGAGGAACACCAGUGGCGAAGGCGGCUUACUGGACGGCAACUGACGCUGAGGCUCGAAAGCGUGGGGAGCAAACAGG